rnacentral:rRNA from 1 species
GAGACCCGUGCCCACUGUUACCAGCAUGUCCUCCGGGAYGAUGGGUACUCUGUGGGGACCGCCGGUGUUAAAUCGGAGGAAGGUGCGGGCCACGGUAGGUCAGUAUGCCCCGAAUUUCCCGGGCUACACGCGGGCUACAAUGAAUGGGACAAUGGGUCCCUCCCCUGAAAAGGGCUGGUAAUCUCACAAACCCAUCCUUAGUUCGGAUCGAGGGCUGUAACUCGCCCUCGUGAAGCUGGAAUCCGUAGUAAUCGCGUUUCAAUAUAGCGCGGUGAAUAC